CGCGUAGGCGGCUUUAUAAGUCUGGAGUGAAAAUCCUCUUUUCAAGGGAGGAAUUGCUUUGGAAACUAUAGAGCUUGAGUGCAGGAGAGGUUAUCGGAAUUCCCGGUGUAGCGGUGAAAUGCGUAGAUAUCGGGAGGAACAUCGGUGGCGAAGGCGGGUAACUGGACUGCAACUGACGCUGAGGCGCGAAAGUGUGGGGAGCAAACA
rnacentral:rRNA from 1 species